AUGUCUUUGGAAAUUUCCUGGAAUGCCUAUGUGAAAAAAUGUGAAGAGAAAGGGAAAAAGCCAAGUUUGUACUGGGCAGUCAUUGCAGAGUUCAAAUGGGAGUGGGGCGUUAACGGCAUCUUUCUAGUUGCCUCUGACCUGGAGCUGAUGAGAUUGGGGGACCAGACCUUGGUCGGGGAGCGAGGCUUGUUACUGAGUGGUGGUCAGAAGGCCAGACUCACACUAGCAAGGGCUGAACUCUCCGAUUCUCUGAACGUUAAGGCACAAAAUGGAUCGUAUCCACUAUAUCGAGUGGCCAAUACAUUGAACCAAACACUAGGAUCAAACACAUUGUACAACAUAACACCCCUUCUACAGACCAGUAACUCUACUACUGAGGGGUCCCUGAUCACCGCCCAGGGAGAUGAGUUGAUGCUGCAAUACCUGGUGGCCAUGUCUGUCUUUGUGGUGGGAAUCAGCCUCUUCAGCCUGGUGUACUUCAGAAUGUCAGUCAUCAUCAGCAAGAGACUUCACAACAACAUGUUUCGGGUGGUUAUGGGGGCCAAGACCCAUUUCUUUGACUCAAAUCCUGUGGUGAUUUACUUAAUAAGAUGGUUUUCGUUACCAACCACCAGAAAUAUGAAACGCUUAGAGGCCAUGAUGAUUGGAUUGUCCGGAGGGUUGUUUGGAAUGGCUCUAAACUAUUUGCUAACAAUGGCUGACCCUUUUGAGGGCAUGAUGAGGUUGUCUGCGGUCCUAAACACACACGUUUUAAACCAGGGAAAACUUGUUGAAUUUGAUACACCACAUCGACUUCUACAAAAAGAGGAUGGAUUCUUCAGAAAUCUGGUCCAACAGACUGGAAAAGCCCAGGCACAGAUUUUACAGACAUUAGCUUUAAAUUACCACAAAGAGAGAUCUCAAAGAGCGGCUCGAGUCAACGUGCACGAUGGCCAAGGAGAACCUGACAGAGACUAUAAGAAUGAUGCAGGUGUUUUAGGAAUUGCAGGAGUUGCAGUCGUAGAUCUUGCUGACGACGAAUACGAUGGGGAAGACGAGCUGUGCGAUUCUCCGGGACAGGAAAGAACAGAAGGUGCUAGGGAAGUUACAGUGGAUUUUUCCGCUGUUCCGUUACGGAUAUCGGCACCCCCUGACACAGGAUCAUCUGUACGAUGUCUUAUCAGAGGACCAGUCCCACUUGUUAGGGGAUCGCAUGGAAAAUAUAAUGUCCCAACUCAAACUCUUCGUGACCGGGUCAAAGGGAAAGUAAAGUUGGAGAAGGUAACUAUGGGACCAGCAGCACCAUUGCUAAGACAAGAAGAGGAGGCUACGCUCGUUUCACAUUUGAAAGCAAUGUCAUCAUUUGGAUAUGGGUCUACCCGAAAAGAGGUGCCUAAUAUGGCUUCUGACUAUGCCAUUCAGCUACGUAACAGAACCAAGCAGCAGAAACCUCUCACAUUAAAAUGGUUUAGAGGGUGCAUUUAAAUUACUGCGCUGACGUCAGAGUAGUCCGGAUAGGGAUCAUUACCUAUGUCCUCAUUGUAAAAUAGAGUAGAAUUUGAAUUUCAAAUUUGUUUAUACCUUGAUCUUGAUAAACUAAUGUGAUUCUUAAGAUUGUAUAAAAUAUUUGUUAUCUUGAAAUACAAAUUACCAUGUAUACGAUUGUACCAUAAGUUGUUGUGAAAUAAUGAAAUUCAUUGGGAUUAUGAAACAUACUUGAUUUAACUUAUUGUUAAGUUUUCAUUGCAUUUGUUGGAAUAUGUUGAUGUUUAUGAAUAUAUUUGAUAUGUUAUUUGUGAUAUGAGAAUGAAAAAGUUACAAACCACACAUAAAUUUACUUUUCUUGGCCUAAUUCUUGCUUAUACAUCCGGGUGCACGACUACUGGUUCCAAACAAAGAUGGCCGAUAUUGAAACCUCGCUUCGUUGGGCCUCGAUAACAAGCUGUUUAAAGUACUUUGAUGUAUUUUAGAUUAACAAUAAAU
rnacentral:misc_RNA from 1 species